rnacentral:rRNA from 1 species
AUUGAACGCUGGCGGCAUGCUUUACACAUGCAAGUCGAACGGCAGCACAGUAUUUGGCUUCUCUUCGGGUUGGCAACUGGUGGGUAAUUGAUCGGUACAUCGCAAUUUGUGUUUGCGUGGUCGGCGACGUAGGGAUUCAUACCCCAUUACACCUUACGACGUAAGCGUGGAAUCUUCGGAUCUCCCGCUCUUGCGCGAUCCAAUGACCGGAUGUCUGAUUAGCUAGUUGGUGGGGUAAAGGCCCACCAAGGCGACGAUCUGUAGCUGGUCUGAGAGGAUGAUCAGCCACACUGGAACUGAGACACGGCCCAGACUCCUACGGGAGGCAGCAGUGGGGAAUUUUGGACAAUGGGCGAAAGCCUGAUCCAGCAAUGCCGCGUGUGUGAUGAAGGCCUUCGGGUUGUAAAGCACUUUUGUUGGGAAAGAAAAGCAGUGUGUCAAUACCACGGUGUGAUGACGGUACCCGAAGAAUAAGCACCGGCUAACUACGUG